AAAGAGCUGUUUUUUUGGGGCGCCGCCUGGAGCUCGUCGGCGUCGCAUUAACACCGGACGACCGAACGCGAAGGUGAAGCCCGCCGCGCGCUGGGAGGCGGGCCGGGACUCGCCCCGCCCCCCGCCGUCGGCGUUACGUCACUCGUCCCAGCGAGAGCGUCAGACAGGCGGGGAGCGCGGCGUCCGCUCCUUCCUUCGUCGGUCCUCCGCAGGGUGCUGCCUUGUUCUUCCUGCCGAAUAAGCUCCAGACCAAAGUGGUUUAACCAGAGAAUGGGGUAAUGCCUGGCCUUUAGACUGGAGUGACGUUAAAAGGAGGAGAAGGGGAAACACUGUGGCUGCCCAGGUAAUUUCACAUUUUAAUACUUAUCUGCCCACCAUGGAUUAUUUCAAAUAAAUGUUGUGAUGUGCAGCGGGGGACA
rnacentral:lncRNA from 1 species